rnacentral:rRNA from 1 species
UACGUAGGUGGCAAGCGUUGUCCGGAUUUACUGGGCGUAAAGGGUGCGCAGGCGGUGGCCCGCGUGGGUGGUGAAAGCUCCUGGCUCAACUGGGAGAGGGCCGUCCAGACGGGGUCACUUGAGAGGCGGAGAGGGGCGUGGAAUUCCCGGUGUAGCGGUGAAAUGCGCAGAUAUCGGGAAGAACACCCGUGGCGAGGGCGGCUCUCUGGGACGGUACUGACGCUGAGACGCGAAAGCGUGGGGAGCAAACAGG